rnacentral:rRNA from 1 species
AUUGAACGCUGGCGGAAUGCUUUACACAUGCAAGUCGAACGGUAGAGGGGGCAACCCCUCGAGAGUGGCGAACGGGUGAGUAAUAUAUCGGAACGUGCCCAGUCGUGGGGGAUAACGUAGCGAAAGUUACGCUAAUACCGCAUACGCUCUAAUGAUGAAAGCGGGGGAUCGCAAGAACUCGCGCGAUUGGAGCGGCCGAUAUCAGAUUAGGUAGUUGGUAGGGUAAAGGCUCACCAAGACAACGAUCUGUAGCUGGUCUGAGAGGACGACCAGCCAAACUGGAACUGAGACACGGUCCAGACUCCUACGGGAGGCAGCAGUGGGGAAUUUUGGACAAUGGACGCAAGUCUGAUCCAGCCAUUCCGCGUGCAGGAUGAAGGCCCUCGGGUUGUAAACUGCUUUUGUACGGAACGAAAAGGUCUCUCUUAAUACGGGGGACUCAUGACGGUACCGUAAGAAUAAGCACCGGCUAACUACGUGCCAGCCGCCGCCGUAA